AACGAACGCUGGCGGCAUGCCUAACACAUGCAGGUCGAACGAACCCUUCGGGGUUAGUGGCGCACGGGUGCGUAACGCGUGGGAAUCUGCCCUUUGCUUCGGAAUAACUCAGGGAAACUUGUGCUAAUACCGGAUGAUGUCUUCGGACCAAAGAUUUAUCGGCAAGGGAUGAGCCCGCGUAGGAUUAGGUAGUUGGUGGGGUAAAGGCCUACCAAGCCGACGAUCCUUAGCUGGUCUGAGAGGAUGAUCAGCCACACUGGGACUGAGACACGGCCCAGACUCCUACGGGAGGCAGCAGUGGGGAAUAUUGGACAAUGGGCGCAAGCCUGAUCCAGCAAUGCCGCGUGAGUGAUGAAGGCCCUCGGGUCGUAAAGCUCUUUUACCAGGGAUGAUAAUGACAGUACCUGGAGAAUAAGCUCCGGCUAACUCCGUG
rnacentral:rRNA from 1 species